UGGAAAAUAGGAUGGACGAGCUGGCACGUAUGCUGAAUGUGGCCAUUAGAAAUGAUAGCCUGCAACAUCUGGAGAAUAUAUCAAGGGAGCUGGAUCGCAUGCAAAAAACGUUCAUAGCUCAGACUGACAAACUGUCGAGGCUGGAGAAUAGGAUGGACGAGCUGACACGUACACUGAAUGUGGCCAUUAAAAAUGAUAGUCUGCAACAUCUGGAGAAUAUAUCAAG